AGAGUUUGAUCCUGGCUCAGAUUGAACGCUGGCGGAAUGCUUUACACAUGCAAGUCGAACGGUAACAGCAGAGCUUGCUCUGGCUGACGAGUGGCGGACGGGUGAGUAAUAUAUCGGAACGUGUCCAAUAAUGGGGGAUAACUAGCCGAAAGGUUGGCUAAUACCGCAUACGCCCUGAGGGGGAAAGCUGGGGAUCUUCGGACCUGGCGUUAAUGGAGCGGCCGAUACCUGAUUAGCUAGUAGGUGGGGUAAAAGCCUACCUAGGCAACGAUCAGUAGCUGGUCUGAGAGGACGACCAGCCACACUGGGACUGAGACACGGCCCAGACUCCUACGGGAGGCAGCAGUGGGGAAUUUUGGACAAUGGGGGCAACCCUGAUCCAGCCAUUCCGCGUGAGUGAAGAAGGCCUUCGGGUUGUAAAGCUCUUUCGCAAGAGAAGAAACGAUAUAGGUUAAUAGCCUAUGUUAAUGACGGUAUCUUGAUAAGAAGCACCGGCUAACUACGUGCCAGCAGCCGCGGUAAUACGUAGGGUGCAAGCGUUAAUCGGAAUUACUGGGCGUAAAGCGUACGCAGGCGGUUUGGUAAGUCAGAUGUGAAAUCCCCGAGCUCAACUUGGGAACUGCGUUUGAAACUACCAGACUAGAAUAUGUCAGAGGGGGGUAGAAUUCCACGUGUAGCAGUGAAAUGCGUAGAGAUGUGGAGGAAUACCAAUGGCGAAGGCAGCCCCCUGGGAUAAUAUUGACGCUCAUGUACGAAAGCGUGGGGAGCGAACAGGAUUAGAUACCCUGGUAGUCCACGCCCUAAACGAUGUCAACUAGUUGUUGGUGGAGUAAAAUCCAUGAGUAACGUAGCUAACGCGUGAAGUUGACCGCCUGGGGAGUACGGUCGCAAGAUUAAAACUCAAAUGAAUUGACGGGGG
rnacentral:rRNA from 1 species